rnacentral:rRNA from 1 species
GGGGAUAACAGUUGGAAACGACCGCUAAUACCGCAUAGCCCGCUAGUAUCGCAUGAUACGGACGGAAAAGAUUUAUCGGUAUGAGAUGGACCCGCGUCUGAUUAGCCAGUUGGCAGGGUAACGGCCUACCAAAGCAACGAUCAGUAGCCGGCCUGAGAGGGUGAACGGCCACAUUGGGACUGAGACACGGCCCAAACUCCUACGGGAGGCAGCAGUGGGGAAUAUUGCACAAUGGGGGAAACCCUGAUGCAGCGACGCCGCGUGAGUGAGGAAGUAUUUCGGUAUGUAAAGCUCUAUCAGCAGGGAAGAAAAUGACGGUACCUGACUAAGAAGCCCCGGCUAACUACGUGCCAGCAGCCGCGGUAAUACGUAGGGGGCAAGCGUUAUCCGGAUUUACUGGGUGUAAAGGGAGCGUAGACGGUUAAUCAAGUCAGAAGUGAAAACCCAGGGCUCAACCUUGGGACUGCUUUUGAAACUGAGUAGCUAGAGUGCAGGAGAGGUAAGCGGAAUUCCUAGUGUAGCGGUGAAAUGCGUAGAUAUUAGGAGGAACACCAGUGGCGAAGGCGGCUUACUGGACUGUAACUGACGUUGAGGCUCGAAAGCGUGGGGAGCAAACAGGAUUAGAUACCCUGGCAGUCCACGCCGUAAACGAUGAA